rnacentral:lncRNA from 1 species
AAAGUCUUUUAUAAUAAAAAUUAAAAUAUUAUAAAUUUUAUUUUUAGGGGGCCAAAUUAAUUUUUUUAACAAAAUUUAUGUCUUGAUUUUUUUUUUUUCGAAUUUCUUGUUGGAACAAUUACCGCACAUAAAAUCUGAUUGUGAUUUAAAUCUAACUAAAUUUUAUGAUAAAAUUAAUAAAAUCAACUUACCGAUAAUCGCUAAAUCCAAAUAAAAAAUUUGAUCAAUCCGGAAGCGUGCGAGGCACUGCCCUAAGGCGUAUUCCCGUCCUUACGUGCGGGAUUAACCGGAAAUAACACCCCAAGGUACGACCGGAAUUUCUCCUCCUGCGAGCACGAUCGUGAAGAAGGUUGACGGAGACUCUUUCAACACCCGAUGACAAAGAAAUCAAGUAAAUAAACAAUUGAUAAAAACUUAAAUUAAAACCCUCUUUUCACUUGUUGUUUUUCCACGGUGUUCAUAUAUCUAUAAACAGUAGAACAAGUGUAUAUAAAUAUAUAUACAGGGGAAUGAGAAAACUUAACGUUGGGAUUCCCAACGUUAACAUUUUCUCAAUUAGCCCUUUUAAUUAGCACCCACAUGAAUGUCCGCAUGGAUUCCAUGCGGACAAGUAGCGCGAGCAUGCGUAACGUCCGCGCGUGCACAGUGCGUGCGGACGUUCGCUUAAAAAAUAAAUUAAAUUAAUAUUUUAAAAUAUGAAAUUUAGAGAUUUUGGAUUUUCUCCAACAUUUCUUACUCCUUUCCCUUCAACUCUUACAGUCUUGUUUCUUUCUUAGCAUAUUGUCGUUAUCAGUGAAUCUGACAAAUAUUUUUUUUCUUAUUAUUCGAGGUCGAAUUUUUUUCUAUCAAAUUUAAAUUUUAGCCCCCCCGAAUCUUAAUUUCUGGCUUCAUCCCUCACUAUGCAGAAUUAAAGUUACUUCCCAC